GAGCGCCGGUGUCGCCGCGUCGGGGGGGAGGGGCGGCCGCGGCGCCGCCCGCUGAGGGGACCGGCCCGUCCCGGGUGUGUCCGGCUGGACGGUCGCUGCCCUGUGAGGCUCCGGGAGGGAGGAGCGUUGAGGUGGAGCGGUCGCUAUUUGAAGCGCUUUCUGAGCAUCCAGGUCACCGUGUCUUUCUGACUUGCAUUGACCAGUGUGUCGCGGCUGUUCCUUCUGCAGUUUCUUCUCGUUAACUUGGCCUCUGACGUUUGUGGACGAGGCGCCGGGUCUGCACGGUGCCCGCAAAUGCCACGCGACUAGACGGCACUUUGUGUGUGCGCUACAGUAUCCGUCAGUGGCUAUGUUACUUCAGGAGAUUGGGUAAAAAGCGGUUUAAUGACGAUGGUGAUUUUGUUUCUAGGUGUCUCGGAGGCGUGAGCUGCGCAUUUCCCUCCUGAAACUCCGGGGAGAAUCCCCCUCCCCGCCGCCUCCCGCCGCCCGCGCCCGUCAGCGUCGUGUGUUCCCGUCACUGGGAACGGCCUUUCGGAUCUCACAGAAGCAUGACUGAAUCAAUGUUUAACUUUUACCCCUAAGAGAGGGCCAAUCCAGAAAGAACCUUUGACUUGGUAUUGAAAGUGAAAUGUCAUGGCUCUGAAAAUGAAGAUCCUGUGGUUUUGUGGAAAUUCCCAGAGGACUUUGGAGACCAGCCGAGAAACCUACAAUGCGCUUACUAAUUGGUUAACAGAUGCCAGAACGCUAGCGAGUCAGAACAUUGUGAUCAUCCUCUGUGGAAACAAGAAGGACCUGGAUGCAGAUCGCGAAGUUACGUUCAUAGAAGCCUCCAGAUUUGCUCAAGAAAA